GAUGAACGCUAGCGGCAGGCUUAAUACAUGCAAGUCGAGGGACAGCACAGGUAGCAAUACUGGGUGGUAACCGGCAAACGGGUGCGGAACACGUACACAACCUUCCUUUAAGUGGGGAAUAGCCCAGAGAAAUUUGGAUUAAUACCCCGUAAUAUAGUUGAAUGGCAUCAUUUGACUAUUAUAGCUACGGCGCUUAAUGAUGGGUGUGCGGCUGAUUAGAUAGUUGGCGGGGUAACGGCCCACCAAGUCUACGAUCAGUAGCUGAUGUGAGAGCAUGAUCAGCCACACGGGCACUGAGACACGGGCCCGACUCCUACGGGAGGCAGCAGUAAGGAAUAUUGGUCAAUGGACGCAAGUCUGAACCAGCCAUGCCGCGUGAAGGAUUAAGGUCCUCUGGAUUGUAAACUUCUUUUAUUUGGGACGAAAAAGGGCCUUUCUAGGUCAACUGACGGUACCAGAUGAAUAAGCACCGGCUAACUCCGUGCCAGCAGCCGCCGUAACAC
rnacentral:rRNA from 1 species